rnacentral:rRNA from 1 species
GACGAGCGCUGGCGGCGUGCUUAACACAUGCAAGUCGAGCGGUAAGGCCCUUUCGGGGGUACACGAGCGGCGAACGGGUGAGUAACACGUGAGCAACCUGCCCUUCUCUUUGGAAUAAGCGUUGGAAACGACGUCUAAUGCCGAAUAUGACCCCCUGUCGCAUGGUGGGGGGUGGGAAGCUCCGGCGGAGAAGGAUGAGUUCGCGGCCUAUCAGCUUGUUGGUGGGGUAACGGCCCACCAAGGCGACGACGGGUAGCCGGCCUGAGAGGGUGACCGGCCACACUGGGACUGAGACACGGCCCAGACUCCUACGGGAGGCAGCAGUGGGGAAUAUUGGACAAUGGGCGGAAGCCUGAUCCAGCAACGCCGCGUGAGGGAUGACGGCCUUCGGGUUGUAAACCUCUUUCAGCACCGACGAAGCGAAAGUGACGGUAGGUGCAGAAGAAGGACCGGCCAACUACGUGCCAGCAGCCGCCGUAA